rnacentral:rRNA from 1 species
UACGUAGGGUGCAAGCGUUGUCCGGAAUUAUUGGGCGUAAAGGGCUCGUAGGCGGUCCGUCACGUCGGGAGUGAAAACUUGGGGCUUAACCCCCAAGCCUGCUUCCGAUACGGGCGGACUAGAGGUAGGCAGGGGAGAACGGAAUUCCUGGUGUAGCGGUGAAAUGCGCAGAUAUCAGGAAGAACACCAAUGGCGAAAGCAGCUCUCUGGGACGGUACUGACGCUGAGACGCGAAAGCGUGGGGAGCGAACAGG